rnacentral:rRNA from 1 species
GACGAACGCUGGCGGCGUGCUUAACACAUGCAAGUCGAGCGAGGCUCGCUCCUUCGGGAGCGAUGUCCUAGCGGCGAACGGGUGAGUAACACGUGGGCAACCUGCCCCUAGCACUGGGAUAACCCCGGGAAACCGGGGCUAAUACCGGAUACGACCUCAACGGGCAUCCGUCGAGGUGGAAAGGGUCUACUGGCUAGGGAUGGGCCCGCGGCCUAUCAGCUUGUUGGUGGGGUAACGGCCUACCAAGGCGACGACGGGUAGCCGGCCUGAGAGGGCG